GAGUUUGAUCUUGGCUCAGAUUGAACGCUGGCGGAAUGCUUUACACAUGCAAGUCGAGCGGCAGCGCGGGGCAACCUGGCGGCGAGCGGCGAACGGGUGAGUAAUGCAUCGGAACAUGUCCAUGCCGUGGGGGAUAGCCCGGCGAAAGCCGGAUUAAUACCGCAUAUGCCCGAGAGGGGAAAGUGGGGGACCGCAAGGCCUCACGCGAUUGGGUUGGCCGAUGUCCGAUUAGCUAGUUGGCGGGGUAAGAGCCCACCAAGGCGAUGAUCGGUAGCUGGUCUGAGAGGAUGAUCAGCCACACUGGGACUGAGACACGGCCCAGACUCCUACGGGAGGCAGCAGUGGGGAAUUUUGGACAAUGGGGGAAACCCUGAUCCAGCCAUUCCGCGUGAGUGAAGAAGGCCUUCGGUUGUAAG
rnacentral:rRNA from 1 species